ACUGGCAUGUUCUCAUCAUAGCCUUAAAAUCAUUAUUUUAAUCUAUAAGAUUCUUCAUAAUCUUAAUAAUUAUAAGCUGCAAUACAUGAUGAAACAAAAUACCUUUUAUUUAUUCAUAAAAUGUCAUGUACAUGAGUAAGAAGAUCUAAAAAAAUUCCAUCGCAAUAUAAAUUACGAUUGGCUUGUAGGGUAUUAUUCUUUCAGCUAUCCUACCCAUAAGACACU
rnacentral:lncRNA from 1 species